rnacentral:rRNA from 1 species
UACGGAGGAUCCAAGCGUUAUCCGGAAUCAUUGGGUUUAAAGGGUCCGUAGGCGGUUUGGUAAGUCAGUGGUGAAAGCCCAUCGCUCAACGGUGGAACGGCCAUUGAUACUGCCAGACUUGAAUUAUUAGGAAGUAACUAGAAUAUGUAGUGUAGCGGUGAAAUGCUUAGAGAUUACAUGGAAUACCAAUUGCGAAGGCAGGUUACUACUAGUGGAUUGACGCUGAUGGACGAAAGCGUGGGUAGCGAACAGG